CAGGAAGUGCUGGGCGGGGGAGGGGUCCCCAACGGAGGGGGCGAAAGGAUUGGCACGGUCUCAGGUCAAGCAGGAAGUUCUCUUUUCAGAACAGCAGACAUCUCCUGGAAAGUGUUAUGUGCUAACCUCAGGGGCAACUCUGCCGGGAAGAAGAGCCACCUGCCCUCACCUCCUGCGGGUGGACGUUUUGGGGAGCAGGGGGUCUUCAGUUAUCGCGCGAGCCGAGCUGAACGGCCAGCUGGAGCUCAGCACCAGCAGCACUGCGCUAGCCUGGAUUUCACGCUGUUUGCACAAUUACGAGACAACAGACAACAGAAAAGGUGCCAGUUCACUCUCCAAAGGCGCAUGAACACCCCUGGUUCCAGAGGCGGCCGUGCAGCACGCAAGCACCGCUGAUCUCCGCAUCCCUCUCCUGGUGGUACCUCAUUCAGGAUCCAGGGCCCUCCCAGGGGACUCUCCAUCCCUCCCCUCUGGAUGAAGAAAGGGCUCCUCCUCGCUGAUGAGCUGAUAAGCAUCUGGGACGGAGCUCGAGCUCCAGCGGGCUGGGUCAACAGAGGCUUUUGCAAAAGCCUGCCGCUUGGUCCCCUUGGCCCUCCUGGCUGCUGGGGAGGGAAACCAGCUGCAUCCUGAAGGCUGUUCCACUCAACAAACAACGAGGCGCCCCAGUCACAAGGAGGUCCAGUUCAAAUGUUGGCACGCACACAAAAUAUUAAUUAAAAUACCGUGCAUGAUAAAUAAUAUUGUGGUCAGAAGCAGAGAACUCCUAGAAAGUGACAGUUGGUAAUUACUUGAGCGCCUGCUAACACACUCUCAGGAUUCCAGGUCCGCUUACAGGACAAAAUAAGUCUCGGGGAGGUGACGUUGAGAGGUUACCUUGUAAAAGAAGAUAUUCACUCUCUGAAGUAUAAUCCAAUCUCUGAAGUGCAUCUUCAUAAUCUGACUGUCGAAAAUCGAGAAUAAACAAACCAACAACACUUGCAGAUGAUUCAUAUCCCGAAAGGUUCUCUAGCCAGGGAAAGGAAAGCAAGAGGGAAAAAGAAGCAAGAAGGAAUUAAUGAACAAUAUCUGAAUCCAUGGUUUCUUAAAGGGUAAACGCACACACACAAUAAAG
ensembl:lncRNA